CGAAGUAGCAAUACUUAGUGGCAGACGGGUGAGUAACAUGUGGGCAUCUACCCUUUGGCCUGGAAUAACACGAGGAAACUUGUGCUAAUACCGGAUAAGUCUUUACGGAGAAAGCUUUAUGCACCAUUGGAUGAGCCUGCACUUGAUUAGUUUGUUGGUGGGGUAAUGGCCUACCAAGACUGUGAUCAAUAGCUGAUUUGAGAGGAUGAUCAGCCACAUUGGGACUGAGACACGGCCCAAACUCCUACGGGAGGCAGCAGUGGGGAAUCUUGCACAAUGGAGGAAACUCUGAUGCAGCGAUGCCGCGUGAGUGAAGAAGGCCUUUGGGUUGUAAAGCUCUUUCGUCGGGGAAGAAAAUGACUGUACCCGAAUAAG
rnacentral:rRNA from 1 species